CUACCACCCAAUCAGGGACAAGAGCGUUCGUCUUGACUGGCGUCUCGUGAAAAGCGACGUCUUCAAAGUUCAAACCAAAGUUCAGUUUGGAACUCCUUCAGUGACAGUGUGGAUGGUAGCAGGUAACUGCUAUAAGCGUAACAGGCCUGCGUGAAAGGGUUGUACGCCCAAUGAAGGAUGGAAAGGGUUUUUGGGAAGCCUAUUAUGGAAACUAGUCAAAUUCACCAAUUCAGAAUGUUGGCUUUUGAGAGGAGCUCCUUUUUCUUAAAGAAUAAAUCAUCAAAGGUUUUCACCCAGUAGUAAAGGUUUGUGUUUUCUCAAGCUUCACAGAAUUACUAAAAUUCAUUCAUAAAAGCCAAAGCUUUGAAGAUUGACUUGGAAACCUAAACCUUUUUUAAACAAAAUUUAGACAUGGAUAGCUGACAAGAAAAAUUGUAAGUAUAACAUUUAUAAUGGUACACUUUGGAAUUAUAGCAUAGUACAUAUAGUAUCUUUAACUAAAACCGAGGAUUUUUUGUUCUAACAGAUGAGCAAAGUUCAGAACUAAAUGUAUAAAACUUGUUUGAUGCAAAUAAGCCAGAUACAUUAUUCAGCAUUGCAUUCAAUUCAGAUGUCACAACACUGAGGCAGUAUUAUUACUGCUAUAUUUUUACCUUUACAGGAUGGGCUAUACAUACUAUAUAGUAUAUAUAUUAAGC